rnacentral:lncRNA from 1 species
GAGGGAGCCCCAACAUUCCAUCCCGGGCGACCAAAGAGUCCUUAGCAGUGGGGAGAGCGAGAGGACCCACGAUGGCGCUGCCACCGCUCUGGCUCUCACCCAGCGGCUUCUGGGCUCCUGCAGCACCCCAGAUGCUUCCCACCUUUGUGAUCCCCCAAACCUUCUACCCGCACGGUAAGGACCGACCCCGACCCAGAGCCUGGGGACACUCUCGGGGCCAAGAGCGCAGCAGGUGACCGUGGCCAUGGCUCCUGUCUCUCUUCCAGGCUCAGCCACCCUGGUUGCACUGCCGGGGCAGGAGCAGCCCUUCCCCGCAGCCUGGGCACCCCCCGUGGGGGCACAACCAUGGGCCCCCCUGGCCCCACCACCAGGGCUGCAGAUGGGCCCCUGCGGCUGCUGCUUCCAUCCGCAGGGCUUCCACAUCGAGGGGACCAUCAGCACCCCGCUUCCACCGGCCACCCCCACGCUUGGCCAUGGUGCCGCUGCUCUCCCAGGCUCUGCCCUGUGGGGCCUCGGGGGCUGUGAGACCCUCCCGGCCUGGGCAGCCCCCGGAUUCCUCCAGGGACAACCUGCACAGCCCCUGGUGACACAGGUCCCUGCCUACGGACACCAGGGCAGAGCGGUGGCCGCAGCACCACCAGAGCUGCUGAUCUCCAUCCCCGGCCUCCAGCAUGUCCAGGCACCCCCUGCAUGGAGCCACAUCUCCACCAUGGCCACCCCCGCGGGGGCACCCCUGGGCAGCUACAGCAUCUCACGCAGCCCUGUGCUCCCCACACCCUCUGCUGCCCCCCUCAAACCAGCUCCUGGGCACCCGGCCAGCACCGUGGAAGUGGAGGAGGAGAUCCUUCUCCAAGAGCCCCUCAGGCUCUUUGAUUCCUCCACGGAUGCGGCGGGGUCCGACCAGGACAGCACCAGCACAAUCGCCAGCCCUGGGGACCCUGGUGCCACCAGAGGAGAGGGGAGAGCACUGGCCCCAUCACACACCACGGUGGCAAACUCCAUCCCUGGCCACGAGAACAUCAGCGAGCUGUCUUCUGAGAUCUCCAGCUCUAGCACGGCCACCCCUGAGGAGAGGACCCCGGACAGCAACAUCCCUGCCUCCGGUGACAGCUCCUCAGACACUGACAUCUCCUGGGGCAGCGUCAGUGGCUCCCUGGACAUCAGUGUCCCCAGCAGCUCCUCUGCUGUCCACCAAUGCCAGGUCCUUGAGGACCUCACAGAGCCUCAAGAGGUUCUUCUGGAGGAGGUCCUGAGGCUCUUCGCCUGCUCUCCAGAGGGGACAGGUGUCAGCCACACGCCCACAGAGCCUGGUGACACCUGCAGAGCCAUCUCCCCCAGUGACUCCGACUCCCUCGAGGUUCCUGAGGAGCUGCUCACCCACUACUAUACUCUGGAGGAGACCAUGGAGGCCGUACGUUUCCUGGAGCAGCUCUACGAUGAUCCAGAGUCCCAGGAGCUCUGGGAGGAUGCGGGGACAGAGCCUCCACCAGAGUCCAGGGAGGCCUUGGGGGACGUGGGGACGGAGGCGUCACCAAAGUCUGAGGAGCCCUGGGGGGAUGUGGGGAUGGAGCCCUCACGGGAGUGCCAGAGGCCCUGGUGGUACGAGUCACCAGAGCCAUGGCCAAUGACCCCAGAGCCCCAGGGCAACACGGGCACAGCACCAUCCCCACAGGCCCCGGAGCCCCGGGGCGACACGGGGACGGAGCCAUCAGCAGAGUCCCCAGGGCCCUGGGGGGAUGUGGGCACGGAGCCAUCAGCAGAGUCCCCGGAGCCCUGGGGGGACGUGGGGACGGAGGUGCCCGCCACCCAGCCUGCCCUGGGGGAGAGGCGCGGGACAAAGCGGGGGAGCAGCCCCCCAUCCCCACCACCCAGCAAGCGCAGGGCUCUGGCAGGGGGGCCGGGGGCGCGUCCCAGGGGUCCCUGCAGGACCCACGCACACGGCCCCACGCACAAAGCAGCACGGAGCCCCCGGGACAAGGAGAGCCCUUGGGGACCCAGGUGGGACAGAC